rnacentral:rRNA from 1 species
CCUACGGGGGGCAGCAGUGAGGAAUAUUGGUCAAUGGACGAGAGUCUGAACCAGCCAAGUAGCGUGAAGGAUGACUGCCCUAUGGGUUGUAAACUUCUUUUAUAUGGGAAUAAAACGUUCCACGUGUGGGAUUUUGUAUGUACCAUAUGAAUAAGGAUCGGCUAACUCCGUGCCAGCAGCCGCGGUAAUACGGAGGAUCCGAGCGUUAUCCGGAUUUAUUGGGUUUAAAGGGAGCGUAGGUGGAUUGUUAAGUCAGUUGUGAAAGUGUGCGGCUCAACCGUAAAAUUGCAGUUGAAACUGGCAGUCUUGAGUACAGUAGAGGUGGGCGGAAUUCGUGGUGUAGCGGUGAAAUGCUUAGAUAUCACGAAGAACUCCGAUUGCGAAGGCAGUUCACUGGACUGCAACUGACACUGAGGCUCGAAAGUGUGGGUAUCAAACAGGAUUAGAUACCCGUGUAGUC